GACGAACGCUGGCGGCGUGCUUAACACAUGCAAGUCGAACGGAACGUCCCGGCUUUUGUGGGGUGCUCUAGUGGCGAACUGGUGAGUAACACUUGAGUAACCUGCCCUUGACUGUGGGGUAACUUCAUGACACUUAGUCUCAUACCGGCAAUGAGCUCCUGCUUCUUGGUGGGGGUUGGUAAGUUUCGGCGGUUGGGGGUGUACUCGCGGCUUAUCAGCUUGUUGGUGGGGUAGUGGCUUACCAAGGCUUUGCCCGGUAGCCGGCCUGCGAGGGUGACCGGACCCACUGGGCCUGAGAUGCGGCACAGCCUCGUACGGGAGGCAGCAGUGGGGAAUAGUGCACAAUGGGAGGAAGCCUGAUGCAGCCACGCAGCGUGCGGGAUGACGGCCUUCGGGUUGUGUACCGAUUUCGCCUGUGCCGAAGCGUGAGUGACGGUAAUGGGUAAAGAAGCACCGGCUAACUACGUG
rnacentral:rRNA from 1 species